rnacentral:rRNA from 1 species
CCUACGGGUGGCAGCAGUGGGGAAUAUUGGACAAUGGGCGAAAGCCUGAUCCAGCAAUACCGCGUGUGUGAAGAAGGCCUUAGGGUUGUAAAGCACUUUCAAUUGGAAGGAAAAACUCAUGGCCAAUACCCGUGAGCUUGACAUUACCUUUAGAAGAAGCACCGGCUAACUCCGUGCCAGCAGCCGCGGUAAUACGGAGGGUGCAAGCGUUAAUCGGAAUUACUGGGCGUAAAGCGUGCGUAGGCGGCUCGCUAAGUCAGAUGUGAAAGCCCCGGGCUCAACCUGGGAACGGCAUUUGAAACUGGCAAGCUAGAGUUUAGGAGAGGAGAGUGGAAUUUCAGGUGUAGCGGUGAAAUGCGUAGAGAUCUGAAGGAACACCAGUGGCGAAGGCGACUCUCUGGCCUAAAACUGACGCUGAGGUACGAAAGCGUGGGUAGCAAACAGGAUUAGAUACCCCAGUAGUC